GAAACAGUGAUGCUUAAAUGAGUUAACACACGUUGAAUGUCUAGCCUAGGACCUGACAUAGUGUGGGGUGUGAUAAACAUUUGAGGAUUUUUUAAAACUCCAAUGCCACCCCUAACUGUGACUCUGGAGGAGUCAUUUUCUUCUUCUGGGCCUCAGUUUCCUUAUCUAUAGAAUAAGGUUUCCCAGGUCUUAUCUGAUUCCAAGCCUGUGACUCCAGAAUCCAGUAACUCUGGUUCAACCUGAAAAAAUGCCUGCUUGGCCUCUGCCUCCAGAUGAGUCAUCUGUCUCUUGAUCUUGCCUCCUUGAUCCUCUCCUGCCAGGUUCCCUGGGCCCCCUGCUGGAUGGUACAGCCACCUUAAGGCUGGUGAAGAGACAAGUCCCCCUGGAUUGUGUUCUGUAUCGAUAUGGUUCCUUUUCCGUCACCCUGGACAUUGUCCAGGGUAUUGAAAGUGCCGAGAUCCUGCAGGCUGUGCCGUCCGGUGAGGGGGAUGCAUUUGAGCUGACU
rnacentral:lncRNA from 10 species